rnacentral:rRNA from 1 species
UAGGGAAUCUUCGGCAAUGGGGGCAACCCUGACCGAGCAACGCCGCGUGAGUGAAGAAGGUUUUCGGAUCGUAAAGCUCUGUUGUAAGUCAAGAACGAGUGUGAGAGUGGAAAGUUCACACUGUGACGGUAGCUUACCAGAAAGGGACGGCUAACUACGUGCCAGCAGCCGCGGUAAUACGUAGGUCCCGAGCGUUGUCCGGAUUUAUUGGGCGUAAAGCGAGCGCAGGCGGUUUGAUAAGUCUGAAGUUAAAGGCUGUGGCUCAACCAUAGUUUGCUUUGGAAACUGUCAAACUUGAGUGCAGAAGGGGAGAGUGGAAUUCCAUGUGUAGCGGUGAAAUGCGUAGAUAUAUGGAGGAACACCGGUGGCGAAAGCGGCUCUCUGGUCUGUAACUGACGCUGAGGCUCGAAAGCGUGGGGAGCGAACAGGAUUAGAUACCCUGGUAGUCCACGCCGUNNCGAUGAGUGCUAGGUGUUGGGUCCUUUCCGGGAUUCAGUGCCGCAGCUAANNCANUAANCACUCCNNCUGGGGAGUACNACCGCANGGUUG